rnacentral:rRNA from 1 species
UACGUAGGUGGCAAGCGUUGUCCGGAUUUAUUGGGCGUAAAGAGCUCGUAGGCGGUUUGUUGCGUCGGCUGUGAAAUCCCGAGGCUCAACCUCGGGUCUGCAGUCGAUACGAGCAAACUAGAGUGUUGCAGGGGAGACUGGAAUUCCUGGUGUAGCGGUGAAAUGCGCAGAUAUCAGGAGGAACACCGGGUGGCGAAGGCGGUUCUCUGGGCCUGUAACUGACGCUG